UAAAAGAGGUGGGGGGGAGAUACCAUGAUUACAAAGGUGGUUUUCCCAGGGCGAAGCUCACCCAUUGCACUCUGGGUGUGCUGACCCUGGCGAUUUCCCUAAAUGUGGGAAACCCGACUGCAUAAUUUAUGGUAGUGGGGGACUGCGUUUGCAGUCUGAUA
rnacentral:snRNA from 1 species